AAACGACUCUCGGCAACGGAUAUCUCGGCUCACGCAUCGAUGAAGAACGUAGCAAAAUGUGAUACUUGGUGUGAAUUGCAGAAUCCCGUGAACCAUCGAGUUUUUGAACGCAAGUUGCGCCCAAAGCCAUCCGGUUGAGGG
rnacentral:rRNA from 1 species